GUGCACUGGGUAUGACCUUUAUUCACUUAGCUCUAUGUUGUUAACUGAAAAUUUUGCUAUUCUGUUCCCUUCCGUUUUAUCUACUAAUUAUUGUUCUAUGAAUAAUAUUCUUCAGUUAAAUAAUGAUAACUAGAAUGUCCCCAAAGAAAAAAUAAAAUUCAAGGAUUGCAGUGUUCGGGAUGAUAAUUUGUAUCCAAUAUGAUCAUUAGCCAGUCAGAGAACCUAAUUUGGGAAGUGGUUUUAAAGUUUUAAUAGUUUUGUUGUGUGUAAAUUUCUUGCUUUGCCUAGCUACCAAGAAUCUAAUAACCAAAGGCUUAGGUGUUUUCCCCAAAUGGUUUUCAAUUUGUUGUAGGUAAACGAGAGCUACUGUAUUGUUAUGCACAGGGAAAUGGAAGGAAAGUAAAACUUCAAGCUUUUAAUACAAAUUAUAAAUGGAGCAACACUAAACAAAAGAUGGGUAAAACUGACCACUACCUUCUUUCCAUUUAAAUGUAAAUCAAUUGAUUAAGUGUUGUGUUUAAAAUGAAGUUUCAAUUGUUUUCAAACUCUAACAACAGACUUCUACACGUUAAGAUAAUCUAUUUAGAGUUUUGAUCCACUUUUGAUUAUGCAGAAUUUCAAUUUUUUUCCAUAUAAAGUUUCCAUUUUUCUUUUGAGUGAGAGAAGAAGCUUUAAUUUGGGGUAACAAUUUUUUCCUUUGUAGAUUUUUGUGGUAGGACCGAGCUCUCAAAAGGCACUUCAAGUUCUGGAAAUCUUUUUUGUUAUGGUUUUGUUAUAUCAGGUUCUAAAUUGUGCAAACCAUUUCUUUAAUUAGAGAAAAUUAAGCACAAUCCUGCUUAUAUACAUAUUGUUAUUUUAAGAAACAAUUUUGUUAGUGUUUUCUAAAAGAAAUGAUACUAAGAAACUGCAAUUUACUUUUCGGUAUCAUUCUUAACUGAUUUCUGAAUUUAUGCCCGAGUCUAAUCUACUACAAAUAUAGGUUGUGCAAAAGGAGGAAAUGUUUAAGUAGGUAUGUGUACUAUAUGUUUUCAUCAAUUCUUUCUCAGAAUGUGCCUUCAUUGUUGGUUUAUGUACUAUUUUUCUCUGUCUAAAAAAUUGAAAUAAAUAUGAUAUUUUCACUAUUCCUUCUUCUUCCAAGUUUUUCCCACAGAAUAUAAAAAUAUAAAUGACUAUUUGUUUCCCUUUUUCUACUUUGUUCUUUUGGAGCAAAACAAGCAUGAUUUUGUUGGUACUCCUUAUUUAGUGAAGCAACGGUUUCGUAUUGUGAACUGUCUAUGUGUGUUUAUCACUCUAUUCUUUAUGGUUCCAGCUUCCUAAAUGAAGUUUGACAUGUAUGGAAUUUGACAAUUAUAAACUUCAUUUUGCCCAUGGACACCUAUGUUGUUCCUUAUU
rnacentral:lncRNA from 1 species